rnacentral:rRNA from 1 species
GACGAACGCUGGCGGCGUGCUUAACACAUGCAAGUCGAACGGUAAGGCCCUUCGGGGUACACGAGUGGCGGACGGGUGAGUAACACGUGGGUGAUCUGCCCUGCACUUCGGGAUAAGCCUGGGAAACUGGGUCUAAUACCGGAUAGGACCACUGCCUGCAUGGGUGGUGGUGGAAAGCUUUUGCGGUGUGGGAUGGGCCCGCGGCCUAUCAGCUUGUUGGUGGGGUGAUGGCCUACCAAGGCGACGACGGGUAGCCGGCCUGAGAGGGUGACCGGCCACACUGGGACUGAGAUACGGCCCAGACUCCUACGGGAGGCAGCAGUGGGGAAUAUUGCACAAUGGGCGUAAGCCUGAUGCAGCGACGCCGCGUGAGGGAUGACGGCCUUCGGGUUGUAAACCUCUUUCAGCACCGACGAAGCGCGAGUGACGGUAGGUGCAGAAGAAGGACCGGCCAACUACGUGCCAGCAGCCGCCGUAA